rnacentral:rRNA from 1 species
CCUACGGGGGGCAGCAGUGGGGAAUAUUGGGCAAUGGGCGAAAGCCUGACCCAGCAACGCCGCGUGAAGGAAGAAGGCUUUCGGGUUGUAAACUUCUUUUGUCAGGGACGAAGCAAGUGACGGUACCUGACGAAUAAGCCACGGCUAACUACGUGCAAGCAGCCGCGGUAAUACGUAGGUGGCAAGCGUUAUCCGGAUUUACUGGGUGUAAGGGGCGGGUAGGCGGGUCUGCAAGUCUGAUGUGAAAGCCAUGGGCUCAACCUGUGGGCUGCAUUGGAAACUGGAGUGCUUGAGUGCUGAAGAGGCAGACGGAAUUCCUGGUGUAGCGGUGAAAUGCGUAGAGAUUAGGAGGAACACCAGUGGCGAAGGCGAUCUGCUGGACAGCAACUGACGCUGAUGCGCGAAAGCGUGGGGAGCACACAGGAUUAGAUACCCUUGUAGUC